CAUCCUGAAUGAUGGGAUUAAAAAGCAGGUACCACCACCACCAGGCUUUAAUCAAUGUUUAACCCUUUGUUGUUCCGAUUACACAAAUGUUGUUCAGUGCUGAGCUAAAUGGCAAUUAUGUUUUUGUGUACAACUUUCUGCUUUUCCUCCAGAGUUGGUAAUUGCUUUUUUUUUUUCUCUCUCUCUCAACCUCUUCUGACUCAGAGCCAUGUUUCCUUCAACUUCCAGGCAAGUUUGUAAAAUGAUUCUCAGAAAAGGCCCACGUAGUCCAGCCUGUCAGUCAGUCCCUCUGAGGAGAGCUAGGAAUUUGAGUUUCACCUAUGAGAGUUUAUUCCUACGAGGGCCAAAGUCCUGCAGCUCUUAAAUACUGUUAUUAGCAACAGGUGAUCCCACAGGCCUUCUCCGAGGGACCUAGCAGCCACUGUGUCAGGACCUGUCACCACCAGAUGCGCUGGGUGUGUGCUUCAGGAAGCAAGAAAUUUGGCUUCUUCAGCUCCUUUCCACAAAGAGGAAGACAAAGGAGAAAGAGACUUGUCUUAGGGGAAGUGAUUGGGUUUCCGGUGCCGCAUCUCCCACGGCAGCUCUCGCCUACCCCUCCUCUUACCUCCUCCCGGUGCCAGAAACACCUCCCGCCCCUGGCUCACCGCAGAGGGGGCCAAUGCUAAAUCUAUGCUGCAAAAGGAAGUCUUUCAGGGGAAGGAGUCGAA